UGCUUUUAUCACAUGUGUAAG
rnacentral:piRNA from 1 species